GCCAUGGUGGCGGAACUGGUAUACGCGCAUGCCUUAGGAGCAUGUUCCCGCAAGGGAUUGUGAGUUCGAGUCUCACCCAUGGCACCA
rnacentral:tRNA from 1 species